CCUACGGGAGGCAGCAGUGAGGAAUAUUGGUCAAUGGACGAGAGUCUGAACCAGCCACGUAGCGUGAAGGAUGACUGCCCUAUGGGUUGUAAACUUCUUUUAUAUGGGAAUAAAAUGUUUCACGUGUGGGAUUUUGUAUGUACCAUAUGACUAAGUAUCGGCUAACUCCGUACUAGCUGCCGCGGUAAUACGGAGGAUCCGUGCGUUACCCGGAUUUAUUGGGUUUAAAGGUAGCGUAGGUGGAUUGUUAAGUCAGUUGUGAAGGUUUGCGGCUCAACCGUAAAAUUGCAGUUGAAACUGGCAGUCUUGAGUACAGUAGAGGUGAGCGGAACUCGUGGUGUAGCGGUGAAAUGCUUAGAUAUCACGAAGAACUCCGAUGGCGAAGGCAGCUCACUGGACUGCAACUGACACUGAGGCUCGAAAGUAUGGGUAUCAAACAGGAUUAGAUACCCGAGUAGUC
rnacentral:rRNA from 1 species